GACGAACGCUGGCGGCGUGCUUAACACAUGCAAGUCGAACGGAAAGGCCCUGCUUUUGUGGGGUGCUCGAGUGGCGAACGGGUGAGUAACACGUGAGUAACCUGCCCUCGACUUUGGGAUAACUUCAGGAAACUGGGGCUAAUACCGGAUAGGAGCUCCUGCUGCAUGGUGGGGGUUGGAAAGUUUCGGCGGUUGGGGAUGGACUCGCGGCUUAUCAGCUUGUUGGUGGGGUAGUGGCUUACCAAGGCUUUGACGGGUAGCCGGCCUGAGAGGGUGACCGGCCACAUUGGGACUGAGAUACGGCCCAGACUCCUACGGGAGGCAGCAGUGGGGAAUAUUGCACAAUGGGCGGAAGCCUGAUGCAGCAACGCCGCGUGCGGGAUGACGGCCUUCGGGUUGUAAACCGCUUUCGCCUGUGACGAAGCGUGAGGGACGGUAAUGGGUAAAGAAGCACCGGCUAACUACGU
rnacentral:rRNA from 1 species